rfam:Eucalyptus grandis cultivar BRASTZ1 unplaced genomic scaffold scaffold_7, whole genome shotgun sequence.
GAGCAGAUGAUGAGAAACGAUGUGAUUGAAUACUGAUUGGAUCUCUCCAUGAAGUUUCACCAAAAUCGAGCUUUUUAAAACUGAUGCUUU